rnacentral:misc_RNA from 1 species
UUUCCGUAGGUGAACCUGCGGAAGGAUCAUUGUCACACAUCCUAAUGGAUGCUUGUGCCAACAAGCAGACCCAGCGAACCAUUCUCCUAUCACUUGAGGGGCUGCAUCGCGAGGUGCAGCUGUCUACGGUCGGGCCCUUGCUUCAGGGCCGGAGUCCUUGCUGGGUUCACCGUUGCAGGUGAGCACCGGCCGUCCGACGGGGGCCGCUCUUGGGCCUCGCACACGGGAGAGUGCGGGGGCGGCGUUUCCCACUCCAGCUGUCCCUUCCGGGGCAGCUGCGCAACCAACCAAAACACUAUGCAAAAACCGACUGAAGACCGAUCCUUUGCGGGCGCCUUCGGGAGCCCUGCCUCGGAUCAAAAACAAACUAAAGACAACUCUCAACAACGGAUAUCUUGGCUCUC